GAUAGAGAACGGAUGAGAAGGAUGUUUGUGAGA
rnacentral:misc_RNA from 1 species